CACGUGAAAUCCCGUCGGAAUCUGGGAGGACCAUCUCCCAACCCUAAAUACUCCCUAGUGACCGAUAGUGAACCAGUACCGUGAGGGAAAGGUGAAAAGCACCCCGGGAGGGGAGUGAAAUAGAACCUGAAACCGUGUGCCUACAACAAGUUCGAGCCCGUUAAUGGGUGAGAGCGUGCCUUUUGUAGAAUGAACCGGCGAGUUACGUUAUGAUGCGAGGUUAAGUUGAAGAGACGGAGCCGUAGGGAAACCGAGUCUGAAUAGGGCGCCUUAGUAUCAUGACGUAGACCCGAAACCAUGUGACCUACCCAUGAGCAGGUUGAAGGUGCGGUAAGACGCACUGGAGGACCGAACCAGGGCACGUUGAAAAGUGCUUGGAUGACUUGUGGGUAGCGGAGAAAUUCCAAACGAACUUGGAGAUAGCUGGUUCUCUCCGAAAUAGCUUUAGGGCUAGCGUCGACAUUAGAGAUUCUUGGAGGUAGAGCACUGUUUGGGUGAGGGGUCCAUCCCGGAUUACCAAUCUCAGAUAAACUCCGAAUGCCAAUGAAUUAUGGUCGGCAGUCAGACUGCGAGUGCUAAGAUCCGUAGUCGAAAGGGAAACAGCCCAGACCACCAGCUAAGGUCCCAAAAUAAUUGUUAAGUGGAAAAGGAUGUGGGGUUGCACAGACAACUAGGAUGUUAGCUUAGAAGCAGCUAUUCAUUCAAAGAGUGCGUAAUAGCUCACUAGUCGAGUGACCCUGCGCCGAAAAUGUACCGGGGCUAAAACAAUUUACCGAAGCUGUGGAUACCUUUAUAGGUAUGGUAGGAGAGCGUUCUAUGUGUGAUGAAGGUAUACCGUGAGGAGUGCUGGAACGCAUAGAAGUGAGAAUGCCGGUAUGAGUAGCGAAAGACAGGUGAGAAUCCUGUCCACCGUAAGACUAAGGUUUCCAGGGGAAGGCUCGUCCGCCCUGGGUUAGUCGGGACCUAAGGAGAGACCGAAAGGUGUAUCCGAUGGACAACAGGUUGAUAUUCCUGUACUAGAGUAUGUAGUGAUGGAGGGACGCAGUAGGCUAACUAAAGCAGACGAUUGGAAGAGUCUGUCUAAGCAGUGAGGUGUGAAUUGAGUCAAAUGCUUAAUUCUAUAACAUUGAGCUGUGAUGGGGAGCGAAGUUUAGUAGCGAAGUUAGUGACGUCACACUGCCAAGAAAAGCUUCUAGCGUUUAAACAUACUCUACCCGUACCGCAAACCGACACAGGUAGUCGAGGCGAGUAGCCUCAGGUGAGCGAGAGAACUCUCGUUAAGGAACUCGGCAAAAUGACCCCGUAACUUCGGGAGAAGGGGUGCUGACUUAAAGUCAGCCGCAGUGAAUAGGCCCAAGCAACUGUUUAUCAAAAACACAGCUCUCUGCUAAAUCGUAAGAUGAUGUAUAGGGGGUGACGCCUGCCCGGUGCUGGAAGGUUAAGAGGAGUGCUUAGCGUAAGCGAAGGUAUGAAUUGAAGCCCCAGUAAACGGCGGCCGUAACUAUAACGGUCCUAAGGUAGCGAAAUUCCUUGUCGGGUAAGUUCCGACCCGCACGAAAGGCGUAAUGAUUUGGGCACUGUCUCAACGAGAGACUCGGUGAAAUUUUAGUACCUGUGAAGAUGCAGGUUACCCGCGACAGGACGGAAAGACCCCAUGGAGCUUUACUGCAGUUUGAUAUUGAGUGUCUGUACCACAUGUACAGGAUAGGUAGGAGUCUAAGAGAUCGGGACGCCAGUUUCGAAGGAGACGCUGUUGGGAUACUACCCUUGUGUUAUGGCCACUCUAACCCAGAUAGGUGAUCCCUAUCGGAGACAGUGUCUGACAGGCAGUUUGACUGGGGCGGUCGCCUCCUAAAAGGUAACGGAGGCGCCCAAAGGUUCCCUCAGAAUGGUUGGAAAUCAUUCGCAGAGUGUAAAGGUAUAAGGGAGCUUGACUGCGAGAGCUACAACUCGAGCAGGGACGAAAGUCGGGCUUAGUGAUCCGGUGGUUCCGUAUGGAAGGGCCAUCGCUCAACGGAUAAAAGCUACCCUGGGGAUAACAGGCUUAUCUCCCCCAAGAGUUCACAUCGACGGGGAGGUUUGGCACCUCGAUGUCGGCUCGUCGCAUCCUGGGGCUGUAGUCGGUCCCAAGGGUUGGGCUGUUCGCCCAUUAAAGCGGCACGCGAGCUGGGUUCAGAACGUCGUGAGACAGUUCGGUCCCUAUCCGUCGCGGGCGUAGGAAAUUUGAGAGGAUCUGCUCCUAGUACGAGAGGACCAGAGUGGACUUACCGCUGGUGUACCAGUUGUCUUGCCAAAGGCAUCGCUGGGUAGCUAUGUAGGGAAGGGAUAAACGCUGAAAGCAUCUAAGUGUGAAACCCACCUCAAGAUGAGAUUUCCCAUGAUUAUAUAUCAGUAAGAGCCCUGAGAGAUGAUCAGGUAGAUAGGUUAGAAGUGGAAGUGUGGCGACACAUGUAGCGGACUAAUACUAAUAGCUCGAGGACUUAUCCAA
rnacentral:rRNA from 1 species